rnacentral:snoRNA from 1 species
AAACCAUGUUGUGAACAUUUGUUAGAGUAGCCCUUUGUAUCUCUCUCAUGCCUCAUAAUAGCAUUCUUAAUCAAGCUGAGAGAAUGUGAUGAAUUCAUCAUUCAUUGG